UGGGGGAUUUUGCACAAUGGGCGCAAGCCUGAUGCAGCGACGCCGCGUGAGGGAUGAAGGCCUUCGGGUUGUAAACCUCUUUCGCUGGGUUGAAAGGCCAUGCUUUGGGUGUGGUUGAUUUGAACUGGUAAAGAAGUACCGGCUAACUACGUGCCAGCAGCCGCGGUAAUACGUAGGGUACUAGCGUUGUCCGGAUUUAUUGGGCGUAAAGGGCUUGUCGGUGGUUUGUCGCGUCUGUCGUGAAAUCCUGUGGCUUAAACAUGGGCUUGGGGUGGGUACGGGCUGUCUUGAAUGCGGUAGGUGAGACUGGAAUUCCUGAUGUAGCGGUGGAAUGCGCAGAUAUCAGGAGGAACACCGGUGGCGAAGGCGGGUCUCUGGGCCGUUACUGACACUGAGGAGCGAAAGCGUGGGGAGCUAACAGG
rnacentral:rRNA from 1 species